UACAGAGGGUGCAAGCGUUUAAUCGGAAUUACUGGGCGUAAAGCGUGCGUAGACGGUUACAUAAGUCGGGUGUGAAAGCCCCGGGCUCAACCUGGGAAUUGCAUUCGAGACUGCGUAGCUAGGGUGCGGAAGAGGGAAGCGGAAUUUCCGGUGUAGCGGUGAAAUGCGUAGAUAUCGGAAGGAACACCAGUGGCGAAAGCGGCUUCCUGGUCCAGCACCGACGUCAGGCACGAAAGCGUGGGGAGCAAACAGG
rnacentral:rRNA from 1 species